rnacentral:pre_miRNA from 1 species
AUGUGUCUGUGAGGAAGGGAGUGUGUAUGUGUCUGUGAUUCCUCACAGACACAUACACACUCCCUUCCUCACAAACACAUA